rnacentral:rRNA from 1 species
AUGUCCGGACCCAGCCCUCAAGGCUGGUGGGUGGCUUCCUCUGUCACAGAGGAGGAUAUUGCGAAGCUCCAGGCGGCAAGAUACCUGACCGCAGAAAUCCCCCACAGGCUUCCUGCUCAAGGGCAGGUUAUUCCUACUCCCAGAUCCAACGAGAGGGUCGUAUUCAUCUCCCACUUUGUCCGAGGGCUAGGGUUCGCUCUUCAUCCCUUCGUUCAUGGGCUCAUGUUCUAUUACGGGCUAGAUUUUCAUGAUCUAGCGCCAGAUUCCUUUCUUCACGUCUCGGCAUUCAUUAUCAUGUGCGAGGCCUUCCUCCAUAUUCCCCACACUUCGUCUUGUGUCUCAAGACAUUUAAUGUGA